AGGCUAUGAUCUAGUUAUCACCAUAACUAGCUCAUUUUAGGGACCUAAUAAUUUAAAAAAUUUAGUCAGUUUAGAGAAGAAGAGAGAAGAAAAAUUCAAUCAGGUCCCUAAAAUGACUAUUUUAGAGAAUUUAGACCACAAUCCUCCCACUGAUUUUACCAAGUCAUUAAAUCGGAUUGGUCAUACUGAUUGAACUGGC
rnacentral:lncRNA from 1 species